rnacentral:rRNA from 1 species
AGCAGCCGCGGUAAUUCCAGCUCCAAUAGCGUAUAUUAAAGUUGUUGCAGUUAAAAAGCUCGUAGUUGAAUUUCGGGACCAAUAUGUCGGUCGUGCUUCGGUACGUACUUGCAUUAUUGGUUUCCCCCCUUCUGAAGAACCUUGAUGUCAUUAAUUUGGUGUCUUGGGGAAUCAGGACUGUUACUUUGAAAAAAUUAGAGUGUUUAAAGCAGGCUCGCGCUUGAAUACAUUAGCAUGGAAUAAUGAAAUAGGACGUUUUGAUUCUAUUUUGUUGGUUUUCUGGGAUCGACGUAAUGAUUAAUAGGGAUAGUUGGGGGCAUUAGUAUUCAAUUGUCAGAGGUGAAAUUCUUGGAUUUAUUGAAGACUAACUACUGCGAAAAGCAUUUGCCAAGGAUGUUUUCAUUAAUCAAGAACGAAAGUUAGGGGAAUCGAAGACGAUCAGAUACCGUCGUAGUCUUAACCAUAAAACUAUAGCCCGACUAGGGAUCGGGAUGAUUGUUAUUUUUGAUUGACUUCAUUU